rnacentral:rRNA from 1 species
UUGAACGCUGGCGGCAUGCUUUACACAUGCAAGUCGAACGGCAGCACGGGGGCAACCCUGGUGGCGAGUGGCGAACGGGUGAGUAAUACAUAGGAACGUAUCCUGAAAUGGGGGAUAGCUCGGCGAAAGCCGGAUUAAUACCGCAUACGAUCCACGGAUGAAAGCAGGGGAUUCGCAAGAACCUUGCGUUUCUGGAGCGGCCUAUGUCUGAUUAGCUAGUUGGCGGGGAAAAGCCCACCAAGGCGACGAUCAGUAGCUGGUCUGAGAGGAUGAUCAGCCACACUGGGACUGAGACACGGCCCAGACUCCUACGGGAGGCAGCAGUGGGGAAUUUUGGACAAUGGGGGCAACCCUGAUCCAGCCAUGCCGCGUGAGUGAAGAAGGCCUGG